rnacentral:lncRNA from 1 species
CCUUUAGUCAGGGCUUUCAUGUCCUACCUUGGCUUGCCAUCUGACUUUUCAGGUCAUUACUCCAUUCCGAUUACAGCGCUUACUGGCCUGAAGAAUGGCCAGUGGGUCCCUCUCGGGUGAUUAGAGGGGUGGGAGGGAAAAUCUCUACUAAAAGGUCCCUGGCAGAGUUGGAAAUUGUCAUAGUUAACAGAGACAGCUCACUGGAAAAACCGGCUUUGCUUGUUCCACUUACUGCUAAAGUACCUAGGACUCUACUAGUCCUACGGGAUAGUUCUCCCUAUUGCCCCUAUAUGCAUAUGCUUGCUUGAAUAUGAAGCUAUGCUUAGAACAAGGUCAGUAUGACCUUGAAGAAGUAGUAAACAAGUUUUGGGGAGUUGAUCAAGAAAUAGAACAAUGGGGGAAAGAUCAUUAAGGAUAUUGCUGAUGUGGUGUGUUGCUUGAGCCCCCCAAUCAGCAUAUAGGAAACGGUAUUUCAGACCAAUCGGGGAUUGACGAAUGUACUAGGGGACUAUAAGAAUAGAUGUGUUGCUACAAUAAACGCCUUUGCUGCUCACCAGAUUGGUGUACGCUUGCAGUUAUUGGCCCUGACCAAGCGUUUGGUCAGAUAUGCAAGGGUAAGCACACAGGCUUGAAGAACCAGAUGCCACAUUAACUCUGACUGUAACAUGGAGAUCUGACAAGGAUAUGUGUCAGUAAGCUGAUCAUGAAGGAAUCUACUGCUAACAACAAAAAAUAUUUAUCCAGGCUGAUAGAUGUGUCAGAAAUCUCUUCUGAAUAGUCUGUCCACCUCAAGCAUACUGCUCCACAGUGCUCUUACGCAGUCCUGGGAGAGCAGCAGAGCAAAUGACAUCACUGCCAAGCUCAUCAGUGCUGCCAACUUGUGCCAAGAUUGUCUGAAAGGGAGGCAUCUAGAGUGAAGUUACUUUCCAUAAAAAAACGGCAGAGAACAGGGUGCCACCAGGGGAUGAACCUCACCCUCAAGAAGAGUUCUGCUGCAGCUGGCACACUCCAUUCUCUGAAGAUUGCUAUACUGAUGAUGGAGGAAGCAGAAGGCAGUGUUUUAGAUCAAACCUCCAACCUUUAAAAUCAGGUGAGAUACAUCCUCUAAUCCCUGCUCAACUGCCCCCU